GAUUUUUCCGGCGACCCUGCUCUUUUAUUCCUAUUCUCUCUUCUGCUUUUUGUGGGUGUGUUCUGUUUUCUUGGACAGGUACCAUAUUUUUUCCGGCGAGGAUUUCCGGCAAGCUACAGUACUUCCGGCGACUCCCGUUCAGACUUUUGGCAGAACGCAAUUGAACUACACGUUCCGAUAAGCUUCAGGAAAACUUGCCCCUGGUACUAGUCACGGCGGCGAGGCCAAUUUGCGGCGUUUGGGAGUGAAGAGCUAAGCAACACCGGCCGGGACGUGCAAGAGUCGGUAGCANNN
rnacentral:lncRNA from 1 species